UACGUAGGGUGCGAGCGUUAAUCGGAAUUACUGGGCGUAAAGCGUGCGCAGGCGGCUUCGCAAGUCAGGCGUGAAAUCCCCGGGCUUAACCUGGGAAUGGCGUCUGAAACUACGGAGCUGGAGUGUGGCAGAGGGAGGUAGAAUUCCACGUGUAGCAGUGAAAUGCGUAGAGAUGUGGAGGAACACCGAUGGCGAAGGCAGCCUUCUGGGCUAAUACUGACGCUCAGGCACGAAAGCGUGGGGAGCAAACAGG
rnacentral:rRNA from 1 species